UUCCAGAUAGCUUAAUUGGUAAAGCAUGAGACUCUUAAUCUUCAGGUUCAUGGGUUUGAGCCCCACUUGGGGCAAA